GACGAACGCUGGCGGCGUGCUUAACACAUGCAAGUCGAACGAUGAAGCCGGAGCUUGCUCUGGUGAAUUAGUGGCGAACGGGUGAGUAACACGUGAGUAACCUGCCCUUGACUCUGGGAUAACUGCGGGAAACUGUAGCUAAUACCGGAUACGACCCUCGGAGGCAUCUCCUGGGGGUGGAAAGAAUUUCGGUCAAGGAUGGACUCGCGGCCUAUCAGCUCGUUGGUGAGGUAAAGGAUCACCAAGGCGACGACGGGUAGCCGGCCUGAGAGGGUGAACGGCCACACUGGGACUGAGACACGGCCCAGACUCCUGCGGGAGGCAGCAGUGGGGAAUAUUGCACAAUGGGCGCAAGCCUGAUGCAGCAACGCCGCGUGAGGGAUGACGGCCUUCGGGUUGUAAACCUCUUUUAGCAGGGAAGAAGCGAAAGUGACGGUACCUGCAGAAAAAGCACCGGCUAACUACGUGCCAGCCGCCGCCGUAA
rnacentral:rRNA from 1 species